UUAGAUAUUUAGAUAUUAAGAUAUUUAGAUAUUAUUUCAGAAAUAUCUAUAAAUGGAGGAGGGAAACCAAACUACAGGAAAACCACCAGGUCCAACAGCAGAGGAAACUUUAUUCUUUAGACUUGCGUCAGCAGUUGAAGGAAUUACUUUGUAUAUUAUUGUUACGCAAAUCCUACCAAGUAUUUACGCAAAGCGUCACAGGCUAUGAUAAACCUAGCUAUGUUGGACUAGGAUUAACCUAUCUAUGUAUCUUGUGUUUUGACGGGCGGAUUUUUGGUUUGUGUUCUAUGUUAGACUAGGAUUAACCUAUCUAUGUAUCCUUUUACUCAUAAUUAUAAGAUUUUAUGAUUUUAUGGAAACUCAGUUGUUUAAAGUGAUGAACAAUGAAGGAAAGAUGAGAUUUCUCCUCUAUGGUAUUGGACCUCUAGAAUGUGUGUUUGAUCUGAGCCUGGUCUGUUUAUCUCUGGAAACUAUACUAGAUGUAAACUCAGCUCUUUUCACAGGAACAGAUUCUUACUGAUUCUUCCUGAUCC